rnacentral:rRNA from 1 species
UACGGAGGGUGCGAGCGUUGUCCGGAAUCACUGGGCGUAAAGGGCGCGUAGGCGGUCUCUUAAGCGUGUGGUGAAAGCCCGGGGCUCAACUCCGGGUCGGCCGUGCGAACUGGGGGACUGGAGCUUGUCAGAGGCAGGCGGAAUUCCGGGUGUAGCGGUGGAAUGCGUAGAGAUCCGGAAGAACACCGGUGGCGAAGGCGGCCUGCUGGGACAGUGCUGACGCUGAGGCGCGACAGCGUGGGGAGCAAACAGG